rnacentral:lncRNA from 1 species
UUAUUUAAACCAUUAAAAAUUUAUUCAUCCCCUUUAUCAGCAAUAAUUUGAGUACCAAAAAUUCACUUUCUCCUCCAAAAAAAAAAAAAUCACAAUCCAAUCCGAUCAAGCUGCCAGUGGCUUCAACCAGAAAUCAGUUUUUUAGCCAACAUGACCUGUAAGAUGUCCCAUGUCCUUUCUAUACUUGUCCUGCUAUUAUCACUUUCGCUACUCUUACCUCCGGCUUCUACCAGAAACACACACCUAGGUAAGUGUUACUUGUGUAAGUUCUAGAUUCUGAGUUCUUCUAAGUUGUAUCUUCUUUCUCUUUCUUGAGUUGUUCAGUACUUUGUUUUUGUUUUUGGGUUUAUCGUAGGCAAGAAGGUCAAUGAAGUGAUUCAGAGAAAUCUAAUAGGAGGAAGACAGGAACGUUGUACUAUUCAUGCAGGAAGCGGUCUACUCCCUUGUCCGCCUCUUGUUACCGAUAACGAGAAGAAAAAAUUUACUUGGGCAACCAAGGGUCAUAACUAAAGGCUCCAUAACAAAGCCUUGCUAUGAGAUUAAUAAUUCUCUAAAAUUAAGAUUCCUUUGGUAAAAUCUUUUUCUUUUUUCUUUUUAUUUUUUUAAAAAAUGAAUGAAAAGAAAAAAGCAUAAAAUAAAAUUUAAGUAGAAAACCAAAAAACAAAGUGUUUUACAUUAGUGUAAAUUUUACGCUUUUUUUAUCCUUAAAUCAAAAUGGUUAAAAUUAAAAAUAUUAUUUUAAUCUAAAUUAAUGAUAAAUUUAUUUUUGAUCUAAUAGUCAAAAAAAUUGUAUAAUUUAUACUGAUGUAAGUGGAUUUUUACUCAAAAAAAAUAUGUAAAAAAGAGAAGUGAGAAGAUGCUGUUAAGUGUUGCUGAGCGAAUAGCCUGAAACACAACUUUAUCCCUUCUCUUUAUGUUACCUUCUUAGUGAUUUCAGGAAGUGCCAAUUUCAGUGUUUUUCUUGUGAUGGUGUAAUACUCUAUUUGAUCCUUAUCUUUUUUCUCUUCUCUCCUAUAGAAGUGAACACGAGUGUACAAAUAUUGUUUUUUUUUUUUUUU